rnacentral:rRNA from 1 species
AACGAACGCUGGCGGCAUGCCUAACACAUGCAAGUCGAACGAAGCCUUCGGGCUUAGUGGCGCACGGGUGCGUAACGCGUGGGAAUCUGCCCCUUGCUUCGGAAUAACAGUUAGAAAUGACUGCUAAUACCGGAUGAAGUCUUCGGACCAAAGAUUUAUCGGCAAGGGAUGAGCCCGCGUAGGAUUAGGUAGUUGGUGGGGUAAAGGCCUACCAAGCCGACGAUCCUUAGCUGGUCUGAGAGGAUGAUCAGCCACACUGGGACUGAGACACGGCCCAGACUCCUACGGGAGGCAGCAGUGGGGAAUAUUGGACAAUGGACGCAAGUCUGAUCCAGCAAUGCCGCGUGAGUGAUGAAGGCCGUAGGGUUGUAAAGCUCUUUUACCAGGGAUGAUAAUGACAGUACCUGGAGAAUAAGCUCCGGCUAACUCCGUG